rnacentral:rRNA from 1 species
CCUACGGGAGGCAGCAGUGGGGAAUUUUGGACAAUGGGCGAAAGCCUGAUCCAGCCAUUCCGCGUGAGUGAAGAAGGCCUUCGGGUUGUAAAGCUCUUUCGCAAGGGAAGAAAACUUAUAUUCUAAUAAAGUAUGAGGAUGACGGUACCUUGAUAAGAAGCACCGGCUAACUACGUGCCAGCAGCCGCGGUAAUACGUAGGGUGCGAGCGUUAAUCGGAAUUACUGGGCGUAAAGCGUGCGCAGGCGGUUUUGAAAGUCAGAUGUGAAAUCCCCGAGCUCAACUUGGGAACUGCGUUUGAAACUCCAAAGCUAGAGUAUAGGAGAGGGGGGUAGAAUUCCACGUGUAGCAGUGAAAUGCGUAGAGAUGUGGAGGAAUACCAAUGGCGAAGGCAGCCCCCUGGCCUAAUACUGACGCUCAUGCACGAAAGCGUGGGGAGCAAACAGGAUUAGAUACCCUGGUAGUCCACGCCCUAAACGAUGUCUACUAGUUGUUGGUGGAGUAAAAUCCAUUAGUAACGCAGCUAACGCGUGAAGUAGACCGCCUGGGGAGUACGGUCGCAAGNUUAAAACCNCAAAGUAGUAGUACGACGNGAGAGAGCGACGACGACGACGACGGAGGAGGAGG